rnacentral:tRNA from 1 species
CCGCGCGCUCGUCGACGCGGACGCGCCGGUCGCGGUGGCGUCCGCCAUCUGGCCGCACGGCCGGUGGCGGUUCGACUUCACCGGCGAGGGC